rnacentral:rRNA from 1 species
UACGGGGGGGGGCAAGCGUUGUUCGGAAUUACUGGGCGUAAAGGGCUCGUAGGCGGCCAACUAAGUCGGAUGUGAAAUCCCCAGGCUUAACUUGGGAACUGCAUCCGAUACUGGAUGGCUUGAAUCCGGGAGAGGGAUGCGGAAUUCCAGGUGUAGCGGUGAAAUGCGUAGAUAUCUGGAGGAACACCGGUGGCGAAGGCGACAUCCUGGACCAACACUGACGCUGAGUGAGCGAAAGCCAGGGGAGCAAACGGGG